CGGGUGAGUAACACGUGGGUAAUCUGCCUUCGAGUGGGGAAUAACAGUGGGAAACUGCUGCUAAUACCGCAUAACAUCCUUGGUCCCUCGGGAUCGAAGAUCAAAGCCGGGGCCGCAAGGCCUGGCGCUUGAAGAAGAGCUCGCGUCCGACUAGCUAGUUGGCGGGGUAAUGGCCCACCAAGGCUACCAUCGGUAGCCGGCCUGAGAGGGCGGACGGCCACACUGGGACUGAGACACGGCCCAGACUCCUACUGGAGGCAGCAUUGGGGAAUUUUUCGCAAUGGGGGAAACCCUGACGAAUCAACGCCCCGUGGAGGAUGAAGGUCUUCGGAUUGUAAACUCCUGUCGAUCGGGACGAAAGUCCCUUGCUCUAAUACAGCAAGGGAUUGACUGUACCGGUGGAGGAAGCUCCGGCCAACUCUGUGCCAGCAGCCGCGGUAAUACAGAGGGAGCGAGCGUUGUUCGGAAUUACUGGGCGUAAAGGGCGCGUAGGCGGCUUGGUCAGUCUUGUGUGAAAUCCCUCGGCUCAACUGAGGAACUGCACAGGAUACUACCUGGCUUGAGUUCGGGAGAGGGGCGCGUAAUUC
rnacentral:rRNA from 1 species